AGGAACAGAGAGAAGAUACAAUCAUAUUCAAACUAGGAGGAAAGACCGUACCCAGGAAUUGACAUCCACUUCGUCUUCGAUUCCCCAGCUUACGGCACAGGAUUUGAUGCGUCAUUCACUUCAGCCUUGAGAAAUGCACCAAUUAGAAAAGUGCUAACAAGAAGUGGAAAGUCAUUAUGUGGCUCUUCCCUUAGUCCAGUGUGCAGGAUAUUGGCAGAAGAUCUGUGGGCUCUCAAGAUGGGGAAAUAACUACACCAGAAUGGCUCAGGUGAAAACUGAAGUGGGCUCUUUUGUAAACGAUGAAGGACCAUGGGGAUGAAUACACCAAAAUCAAGGAGCAAGCUACCAAAUACUCCUCAGUUACUGCAUUAAAGACCCCCAGUAUGUGUAGAAAGGUUUAGUGUGCAACACAGGCUUUAUUGGUCAUUAUAUGUCUGUGAAGAAGGGGUCCUUAAUUGAUGGAGAAUAAGUGGAUCCUUGAGGAAGACUUAGGAUGGCACAAGUAUCUCCAGUCAAUGUUUCACCAGUCUUCAAAGGAGGUCUGUGUCCCAGGGGACUUCAUGUCACUGGCUAAGAAUGACAACUCUUGGCUGCCCAGAACAUCAAUGAUGUUCACCUGUUAAAGAGAAUUCUGAUAAAUAUUGAUAAAUUCUGAAUCAAGAACAUUUUAUGGUAAUCUUUGAAACACCCCAAACAUUUACAGAGGUUAUGUCUCUAUCUCUGUAGGUAUACUAUUAUAGCAAUAGCUGAUAGACUCCUUUCGCUGACUUUUUGAUUUGUGUAAUGUUCAGUCUCAUGCCAACCAGACACAAAACUUCCUUAGCCACUCGCUAAAACUUGAUUCUUAUUUUCCAUGAAUUAAACCAUAGUUGAUAUAAACAUCUACCACUGUAA